rnacentral:rRNA from 1 species
ACACAUGCAGUCGAACGGGCUCUUCGGAGCUAGUGGCGGACGGGUGAGUAACGCGUGAGGAUCUGCUCAGGAGGGGGAUAACGACUGGAAACGGCGCUAAUACCGCAUAUGCCUACGGGUGAAAGAUUAUCGCCUGGAGAUGAACUCGCGUCAGAUUAGCUAGUUGGUGGGGUAAGAGCCUACCAAGGCGACGAUCUGUAGCUGGUCUGAGAGGAUGAUCAGCCACACUGGGACUGAGACACGGCCCAGACUCCUACGGGAGGCAGCAGUGGGGAAUUUUCCGCAAUGGGCGCAAGCCUGACGGAGCAAGACCGCGUGCGGGAUGACGGCCUAAUGGUUGUAAACCGCUUUUCUCUGGGAAGAUGAUGACGGUACCAGAGGAAUCAGCCUCGGCUAACUCCGUGCCAGCAGCCGCGGUAAUACGGAGGAUGCAGGCGUUAUCCGGAUUUAUUAGGUUUAAAGGGUGUUCAGGCUGCCUGGUAAGUCAGGGGUGAAAGUCGGUUGCUCAACGAUCGAAUUGCCUUUGAAACUGUCAGGCUCGAGUAUGGAUGCGGUAGGCGGAAUGUGUAGUGUAGCGGUGAAAUGCAUAGAUAUUACACAGAACACCGAUUGCGAAGGCAGCUUACCAAACCAGCACUGACGCUGAAGCACGAAAGCGUGGGGAGCGAACAGGAUUAGAUACCCUGGUAGUCCACGCCGUAAACUUUGCUCACUCGCUGUUGGCGAUAGACAGUCAGCGGCCAAGGGAAACCGAUAAGUGAGCCACCUGGGGAGUACGGCCGCAAGGUUGAAACUCAAAGGAAUUGACGGGGGCCCGCACAAGCGGUGGAACAUGUGGUUUAAUUCGAUGAUACGCGAGGAACCUUACCUGGGCUUAAAUGUGAAGUGCAUUGAUUGGAAACAAUCAUUUCCUUCGGGACCCUUUACAAGGUGCUGCAUGGUUGUCGUCAGCUCGUGCCGUGAGGUGUCGGGUUAAGUCCCAUAACGAGCGCAACCCCUAUUGUUAGUUACCAGCGCGUGAUGGCGGGGACUCUAGCGAAACUGCCGGUGUAAACCGCGAGGAAGGUGGGGAUGACGUCAAAUCAGCACGGCCCUUAUGUCCAGGGCUACACACGUGUUACAAUGGCCGGUACAGCGGGCAGCUAGGCAGCGAUGUCAUGCUAAUCCCGAAAGCCGGUCCCAGUUCGGAUUGGAGUCUGCAACCCGACUUCAUGAAGGUGGAAUCGCUAGUAAUCGCGCAUCAGCCAUGGCGCGGUGAAUACGUUCCCGGGUCUUGUACACACCGCCCGUCAAGCCAUGGAAGUCUGGGGUGCCUGAAGGCCGUAACC